AACCAAGAACCGCCCACCUUUGUGACAGCCUGUCUGUUGCUUAGCAACAGACAGGAAGUGGGGCUCCACUCACCCCAGGAUCGCUGGGAAAAGUCUUGGACUGAGGAGCUCCAAAGAGGAAGCUGUGGCGCUGCGUAGGGAAGGAGGGAAGAAAGUAGGUCUCCGAGAUGCUGCGGCUUGUGGUGCAGUCGGCCAAGAUUGACCCACCACUAGCCCCCCUACCCAGGCCCUGCAUGUCCAUCGACUUCAGAGAUAUCAAGAAAAGAACUCGUGUGGUGGAAGGGAAUGAUCCCGUGUGGAAUGAGACCCUAAUCUGGCACCUCUGGAACCGCCCCCUGGAAAAUGACUCCUUCCUGCAAGUCACCCUUCAGGACAUGGGCUCACAAAAGAAAGAAAGAUUCAUUGGCCUGGCCACAGUACUGCUCAAGCCAUUGUUGAAACAACCAAGUGAGGUCCUUUUUGUGAAGGACUUGACCCUGCUCAACCAUUCCAUGAAGCCCACAGAUUGUACUGUCACCCUACAGGUGGCCCACAUGAGCAACCAGGAUAUUGAGAAGACAGGAGCUGAAGACCACCUGGGCAUAACGGCAAGAGAGGCAGCCAGUCAGAAACUGAUGGUCCCUGGCUCCACUGCGCACAGGGCUCUGUCCUCAAAGCCUCAGCACUUUCAGGUUCGAGUGAAGGUGUUUGAAGCCCGACAGCUCAUGGGCAACAACAUCAAACCAGUGGUGAAGGUGUCCAUCGCAGGCCAGCAGCACCAGACACGCAUCAAGAUGGGAAACAACCCUUUCUUUAAUGAGAUCUUCUUCCAGAAUUUUCAUGAGGUUCCUGCAAAGUUCUUUGAUGAGACCAUCUUAAUCCAGGUGGUGAACUCCUCAGCAAUGAGAUACAAAGCAGAGAUCGGGAGAUUUCAAACAGAUAUUGGGUUUAUCUACCAUUCUCCAGGUCACACACUCCUAAGGAAAUGGCUAGGCCUCUGCCAGCCAAAUAACCCUGGCAGUGGUGUGACAGGCUACCUGAAAGUCACCAUCUAUGCCCUCGGUGUGGGAGACCAGGCCCUGAUAGAUCAAAAGCUGCUCUAUGGCACCGAUGACACCGAUAUUCAGAUCUUCAAGUCAGCGGUAGUCCCGAUGAACAUGGCUUACUUACAGCUCUUCAUCUACUGCGCAGAGGACCUGCACCUCAAGAAACACCAGUCAGUGAAUCCUCAGUUGGAGGUGGAACUAAUUGGGGAAAAGCUCAGGACACACAUGCAGACUCAAACCGACAACCCGAUAUGGAACCAGAUCCUGACCUUCCGGAUUCAGCUACCCUGCCUCUCCAGCUACAUCAAGUUCAGAGUCUUGGACUGCCGCAAGAAGGACUGCCCGGAUGAGAUUGGGACUGCCAGCCUGUCCCUCAACCAGAUCUCAUCCACCGGAGAAGAGAUAGAAGGAGUGUACUCCGGCUUCCUGCCCUGCUUUGGCCCCAGCUUCCUGACUCUGCAUGGGGGUAAAAAGGCCCCUUUCAGGAUCCAGGAAGAAGGCGCUUGUAUUCCCGACUCUGUUAGGGAUGGUUUAGCUUAUCGAGGCCGAGUCUUCCUGGAGUUAAUCACCCAAAUCAAGUCCUAUCAAGACUCCACGAUAAAGGAUCUCUCCCAUGAAGUGACCAGGAUAGAGAAGCACCAGAACCGCCAAAAGUAUGGGCUGUGCGUCAUCUUCCUUUCCUGUACCAUGAUGCCCAACUUUAAAGAGCUGAUCCAUUUCGAGGUCAGCAUCGGUCACUAUGGGAACAAGAUGGACCUGAAUUACAAGCCUCUAGUCUCAAGCACACAGUACAGCCCAGUGAUAUAUGAUGGGAACAUCUACCAUUAUGUGCCCUGGUACAACACCAAGCCUGUCGUGGCUGUGACCUCCAACUGGGAGGACGUCAGCUUCCGCAUGAACUGCCUCAACCUCCUCCACUUCACUCGGGACCGCCUGAAAGCCAACCUGGACACCCUGAAAUCCACGCGGAAUCCGAAGGAUCCAGCUCUCCUCUACCAGUGGGAGAAACUGCUGAGGGAGCUGGCAGAGGACUGCAAGCACCCUCUGCCCUGCAUGACCUAUCAGCCCAAAGCCACCAGCCUGGACAGGAAGAGGUGGCAGCUCCGCAGCCUCCUCCUGCAGGAACUGGCCCAAAAGGCCAAGCAAGCCAAGCCCAAGGACAUGGUGGCCACAGCGGAGGACUGGCUGUACCGCCUCAACGCCGUGCUCCCUGAGCCCCAGAUGGGCCUCCCUGACGUGAUGAUUUGGCUGGUGGCCAAGGAGCAGCGAGUGGCCUAUGCACAGGUGCCUGCCCACUCCAUCCUCUUCUCCCCGGCAGGGGCUCUGCACUCCGGCAGGCUCUGUGGGAAGAUACAGACACUCUUCCUACAGUACCCAGAGGGUGAAGGACAGAAGGAUGUGCUCCCAGCUCACCUCCGGGUCUGCAUGUGGCUUGGCAAUGUCACAGACAGCAAGGACCUGCAGCUGCUCCGCCAGGGUGACACAGCGGUGUACGCCGAGAUGUAUGAGAAUCAGGCCAAGUAUAAAGACCAGUGGGGGCAGCAGGGGCUGUAUCACUGCCCCAACUUCUCGGAUGUCAUGGGGAACAAGACCCUCCCCAUGACGGAUUUCCAACCACCCCUGGGAUGGCACUGGCAGGACAGCUGGACAGUGGAACCUCAGAGAAGGCUCCUCCUGGACAUAGACAUCAACAAGAGCCAGGUGCUGGAGGAGGUAUAUGAGAACCAGGGCCGUGACACCAGAGGGGCCUGGGGGCCUGCCGCCAUCCCAAACACAGACGUGAAUGGACAGCCCAUGGAGGCCCGGGAGAACGUGAAGUGCCCCCAAGGCUGGCACUUUAAGAAGGACUGGGUGGUGGAGCUGAACCACGCAGUGGACAGUAAGGGCUGGGAGUAUGGAGUGGGGAUCCCACCGUCGGGCCUGCCCCAGGUCUGGAGCCCGGUGGAGAAGACCUACCACUCGUGCCGCCGCCGGCGCUGGGCGCGUGUGCGCUUCAGGAACCAUGGGGAGCUGAGCCACGAGCAGGAGACCCUCUCCUUCCUGCAGCUGGGCCUGGCCAAGGGCGAGGAGGAGGGCUGGGAGUAUGACACCUUCGGCUCCAAGUUCCACCUCAACCCUCAGCCCCAGAGCCGGUUCCGCCGCCGCUGCUGGCGCCGCAGGCUGGCCCCCAACAAGGACAAGGGCAUCGCGCCCAUAUUCCUCCUGGAGGGGUCCUUGGCUAUGGAUCUGAAAUACCAUGCUGGGAAGGAAGAGGACAGCAAGACAUGGCCAUGGGGUCUGGACAGACAGUUCAGGGACCCCCAGAGGCAGGACACCCGGCCCCCCAACUUGCCCUUCAUCUACUGCACCUUCAAUAAGCCCCACUACUACCAGCUCUUCUGCUACAUCUACCAGGCCCGGAACCUGGUGUCCAAUCAGAUCGUGACAUUCCAAGCGCCCUUCAUUCGGGUGGUCUUCCUGAACCACAGCCAGUGCACCCAAACCCUGAGGAGCUCUGCAGGCCCCACAUGGGCCCAGACACUCAUCUUCCAGCACCUCCUUCUGUACGAGAAUCCGCAGGACACCAAAGAGAGCCCACCGCUUGUGGUGCUGGAGCUGUGGCAGCGUGACUUCUGGGGCAAGGAGAGCUUGUGGGGACGGAGCAUGUGGCCCCCACUGGUCUGGCUGGAUCUCCAGGACCGGAUCCUGCCCCCCAUGAGGUGGCAUCCCCUUGUAAAGGAGUUGGGGAAGGAAGAGGGCGAGAUCUUGGCAUCCUGUGAGCUGAUCCUCCAGACUGAGAAGCUUGGAGAGAAGCAGCUGCCUAUCUUAAGCGUUCCCUGGAAGAAUGGGGCAUACACACUCCCCAAGAGCAUCCAGCCCACGAUAAAGAGGAUGGCCAUUGAGAUCCUGGCCUGGGGCCUUCGGAACAUGAAGAAGGCGAGCUCCCCCCAGCUCCUGGUGGAAUUCGGGGAAGAGUCCCUGAGGACAGAACCCAUCAGGGACUUUCAGACCAACCCCAACUUCCCCGAGUCCGAGUCUGUCCUAGUCCUCACAGUGCUCAUGCCGACGGAGGAGGCCUAUGCACUGCCCCUCGUGGUGAAGGUGGUAGACAACUGGGCCUUCGGCCAGCAGAUCGUGACGGGCCAGGCCAACAUCGACUUCCUCCAGCCCUACUUCUGUGACCCCUGGGCUCAAGACUAUAUGCACCCAAAGCUUCCAACGCUGUCUGAGAAGAAGCACCAAGACUUCCUAGGCUACCUCUACAGAAAGUUCUGGUUCAAGUCCAGUAAAGCAGAGGAUGAGUAUGAGCAUGAGGUGGACUGGUGGAGCAAGCUGUUCUGGGCCACAGAUGAGCACAAGUCCCUGAAGUACAAGUACAAAGACUACCACACCCUCAAGGUGUAUGAGUGUGAGCUGGAGGCUGUGCCAGCCUUCCAGGGCCUGCAGGACUUCUGCCAGACCUUCAAACUCUACCAGGAGCAGCCCAAGUUGGACAGCCCCGUGGUAGGGGAGUUCAAGGGCCUUUUCCGCAUCUACCCCUUUCCUGAGAAUCCAGAAGCCCCAAAGCCCCCGCUGCAGUUCUUGGUUUGGCCAGAGAGAGAGGACUUCCCCCAGCCGUGCUUGGUGCGGGUGUACGUGGUACGAGCCAUCAACCUGCAGCCCCAGGACUACAAUGGCCUGUGUGACCCUUAUGUGAUCCUGAAACUGGGCAAGACAGAGCUUGGCAACCGGGACAUGUACCAGCCCAACACUCUGGAUCCCAUCUUUGGCACGAUGUUUGAACUCACCUGCAACAUACCCCUGGAGAAGGACCUAGAGAUCCAGCUCUAUGACUUCGACCUAUUUUCACCUGAUGAUAAGAUAGGAACCACAGUCAUCGACCUUGAAAACCGACUCCUAUCUGGCUUUGGAGCUCAUUGUGGGCUCUCCAAAUCCUACUGCCAGUCAGGGCCCUUUAGAUGGCGGGAUCAGAUGCCCCCAAGCUACCUCCUAGAACGCUAUGCCAAGCGGAAAGGGCUACCUCCGCCUCUGUUCAGUCCUGAGGAAGAUGCUGUUUUCUAUAACGGGAAAAAGUUCAAGCUGCAAAGCUUUGAGCCCAAAACCCCUACUGUUCAUGGUUUGGGACCCAAGAAGGAACGCCUUGCACUGUACCUCCUGCACACCCAGGGGCUGGUACCUGAGCACGUGGAGACCCGCACACUGUACAGCGACAGCCAGCCAGGCAUCGACCAGGGAAAGGUGCAAAUGUGGGUGGACAUCUUCCCCAAGAAGCUGGGGCCUCCUGGCCCCCAAGUCAACAUCAACCCCAGAAAGCCUAAACGGUAUGAGCUGCGAUGCAUCAUCUGGAAGACUGCCAAUGUGGACCUGGUGGAUGACAAUUUAAGUAGAGAGAAGACGAGCGACAUCUACAUCAAAGGGUGGUUAUACGGGCUGGAGAAGGACAUGCAGAAGACAGACAUCCACUACCACUCGCUGACUGGGGAGGCCGACUUCAACUGGCGGUUCGUCUUUACCAUGGACUACCUGGCGGCGGAGCGCAUGUGUGUCCAGAGCCAGAAGGAUUACAUAUGGAGCCUGGAUGCCACGUCCAUGAAGUUCCCAGCCCGACUUAUCAUCCAGGUCUGGGACAAUGACAUCUUCUCCCCCGACGACUUCCUAGGGGUCCUGGAGCUGGAUUUGUCUGACAUGCCCCUCCCGGCUCGGCACGCCAAGCAGUGCUCCAUCAGGAUGAUGGACGCCGACCCCAAGUGGCCCUAUUUCGUCCAAUACAAGCACUUCUCCCUCUUUAAGAAGAAGACUGUGACUGGCUGGUGGCCUUGCCAGGUCCUCGAUGGUGGCAAAUGGCGCUUGUCGAGGUCCUAAAACUACCCGGCUCCUGCUGUCUGCACUCAGCCUCCCCCUCACCCAUGGUGUUCCCAGGGCAAGGUGAAGAUGAGCCUGGAGAUUCUGUCAGAGAAGGAAGCCUUAAUCAAGCCAGCCGGGCGAGGCCAGUCGGAACCCAACCAGUACCCCACACUUCAUCCUCCCCUACGCACCAACACCUCUUUCAUGUGGCUGCGGUCACCAGUUCAAAACUUCUGCUAUAUUUUCUGGAAACGCUAUCGCUUCAAACUCAUAGCCUUUAUGGUCAUAUCGAUUAUAGCACUUAUGCUGUUUAACUUCAUCUAUUCAGCUCCGCACUAUUUGGCCAUGAGCUGGAUCAAACCUCAACUUCAGCUGUAUCCUCCCAUUAAAAUAUUCAAUAUCAUCAAUUCACUAAACACCAGCAACGCCAGCUCUUCCAUCCUUCCCACCCAGGAUCCAAACCUAAAGCCUACAAUAGACCAUGAGUGGAAACUCCACCCAGGACCCACAAAUCACCUGAGUGAUAUUUUCCCAGAACUUCCAGCCCCAGGAGACUAAUUAGUCCAUGCUGCCUGGCUUUCCUCCUGCUACCAACAGCCCUCCCCUUGGGCUGGCUACCAGUUCUUUGUUUCUAUCUUCUAGAAUAUAUGCAAGGUGCUAGGAAUAUUCUGGCUAUUGUGUUCAGAAAUCACUUUCAACAAGACGAGCAGAGCUGUAAUUUUCCACUGAAAUAAACAAGUUCUAUAACA